GAUGAACGCUGGCGGCGUGCCUAAUACAUGCAAGUCGAGCGAACAGAUAAGGAGCUUGCUCCUUUGACGUUAGCGGCGGACGGGUGAGUAACACGUGGGUAACCUACCUGUAAGACUGGGAUAACUUCGGGAAACCGGAGCUAAUACCGGAUAACAUUUGGAACCGCAUGGUUCUAAAGUGAAAGAUGGUUUUGCUAUCACUUAUAGAUGGACCCGCGCCGUAUUAGCUAGUUGGUAAGGUAACGGCUUACCAAGGCAACGAUACGUAGCCGACCUGAGAGGGUGAUCGGCCACACUGGAACUGAGACACGGUCCAGACUCCUACGGGAGGCAGCAGUAGGGAAUCUUCCGCAAUGGGCGAAAGCCUGACGGAGCAACGCCGCGUGAGUGAUGAAGGGUUUCGGCUCGUAAAACUCUGUUAUUAGGGAAGAACAAACGUGUAAGUAACUGUGCACGUCUUGACGGUACCUAAUCAGAAAGCCACGGCUAACUACGUG
rnacentral:rRNA from 1 species